rnacentral:rRNA from 1 species
UACGUAGGUGGCAAGCGUUGUCCGGAUUUACUGGGCGUAAAGAGCGCGCAGGCGGUCGUUCAAGUCGCGUGUGAAAGCCCCCGGCUCAACUGGGGAGGGUCACGCGAUACUGAUCGACUCGAAGGCAGGAGAGGGUAGUGGAAUUCCCGGUGUAGUGGUGAAAUGCGUAGAUAUCUGGAGGAACACCGGUGGCGAAGGCGGCAUCCUGGGACCAACACGUGACGCUGAGGAGCGAAAGCCAGGGGAGCAAAGCGGGAUUAAGAUGAC